AUUGAACGCUGGCGGCAGGCCUAACACAUGCGAGUCGAGCGGGUGAAGGUAGCUUGCGUCUGGAUUCAGCGGCGGACGGGUGAGUAAUGCCUAGGGAGCUGCGUGGUAGUGGUGGAUAACGUCGCUAAACGGGCGCUAGUAGCGCAGCAGUCGUGGAGAAGAGCGCGGGGGGGGGUCGGAGUCCAAGCUGUCAGAUGGUGCGGGGACGGAUUAGCGAGUUGGUGGGGGGAAGGCCGACCAAGGGGACGAUCAGUAACUGAUCUGAGAGGAUGAGCAGUAACACUGGAACUGAGACACGGUCCAGACUCCUACGGGGGGCAGCAGUGGGGACCAUUGGACAAUGGGCGAAAGCCUGAUCCAGCCAUGCCGCGUGUGUGAAGAAGGUCUUCGGAUUGUAAAGUACUUUAAGUUGGGAGGAAGGGCAGUAAGUUAAUACCUUGAUGUUUUGACGUUACCAACAGAAUAAGCACCGGCUAACUCCGUG
rnacentral:rRNA from 1 species